rnacentral:lncRNA from 1 species
UUUUUUUCUUUUUCUUUUUACGGCUGCACCUGCAGCGUAUAGAAGUUCCUGGGCUAGGGGCAGAAACGGAACUGCAGCUGCCAGCCACAGCCACAGCCACAGCCACAGCCACGCCGGGUCCCAGCCACAUCUGCAGCCUAUGUUACAGCUUGUGGCAGCGCCAGAUCCUUAACCACCUGAGCAAGGCCCGGGACUGAAUCCUUAUCCUCAUGGACACCAUGUGGGGGUCUUGACCUGCUGAGCCACCAUGGGAGCUCCCCCCCACAGGCUUUGUAAAUGCUGUUCCUUUGCCUUGAGGUCUCCUGCCCUCUUUCAUUAGGUCCUAUCUGUCUUUUGGAUGUGUUUGGACAUGACAUACAGGAGAAGCCUUUCCUGACACUCUAAAUCUAGGUUAGAAUGUUCCUAUUGUGUUUGUAGCAAUUGGCUGGUUUUUUUGUCUCUGACCCCUUAGACUGUAAACUCCACGAGGGCAAGAACUACGUCAAUCUGUUUGCCAACCGAAUCUCAGUGCCCAGCAAGGUGCCUGCACCCAGUAAGGGCUUGGUAACUAGUCAGGGAACAAAUCAAUGGGUUCCCAAGCCUGAUCUAUCGUGUCGAAAGAGCAUCGGUAACUUUAUACCUAACAGAUUAGAAAAUACCAAGCUAACAGUGCCUAGGUGUCCAUACACAGCUUUUGACAAAUGCGGCCCGUCUGAGACCUCUGAAAAACAUGCUUUAGCCCAAUUACCUGGAUCUCAUACAUGACCGGCUAAAUAGAGCCUGACCAUCUGUCUGUCAUAGCGCCAAGAAACUCACUGCCACCAGGUGUCCCCCAGAUAGGUGGGGAUCAAUUAGUAAUUAUAAUUGAAGCAUCGUGUAAUUUAUCACUUAAUCCUAAGCUGCUCAAGUUGAAUUCCACUGACAUGACAUCAUACAACCGGGGGAACCACAGAAAAUAAUUCAAAGGGAAAAAAUGGAUAUGAAAAAAUCCUGGGCCAAUUCUUUCCCUGGGCAGCCAGGAACUUGGGUGUAUCGGGCCAAUUAUACCAACACGUAGUAGGAGGAAAUAAUGAGGGUUGGGCAGAGGUGUCUGAUGAGAACUUCACCCGCGGUGGUAAGAAGCAAUCUGUCAGCAGGCGGAUUCAGAGGCCAAAUGGGUCCGUGUGUCCAGAGGAUCCAGAGGACAGAGCGCCACGUACGGGACCUGGGUCAUCUGGCCACCUACCCACACAGCUUUCCGUCCCCAGGGCCCGUGAACAAAAGAGGAAAGGGAGACAGGCCACGGCAGUGGUUUCUGUUCUCUUGUCCUGUAGUUUGGGGAUCAUCCGAAUGAUACCCCUCGACCAACACCGAGCAGUGUUUUUACCAGGUUCACCCUCGCCCUUAACAGAUCAGUUUACGUGGACAGACACAGAGACGGAAAGUGUGUAUCCUCUCUACGUGUCAUGCUCGUCACGACCUGAAGUUUACCACCGGGCUCAGGACGAUGAUAAAUUAAACCAAUACAGAUGCUUGAAAGAAACGGCAGUAUAUCUUUACAGCAGAAAUCCACAGGGGCUCCUCCAGAACGAUGCUGUAGAUCCGUGACUGGGCCUGGGGUCCUUUAGACCCUUUUGCCAAAAUACAAAUUCCAGAGCCAUCAUCCUGGAGAUUCUGACUCUGCAGAUCCAAGCGAGGGCUUAGGAAUCUGAAUUUUAACGAGCAUUCUCCUGGGAGAUGUGUAUGCAGUAAGACCGUGGAUAGGAAGCACCACCCAGAGAUCCGUACUUGUUUAUGGGGAAAUGUGGGGAUAUAGACUAUGAAGUUGUGUGCAUUAUAAAACAGUCCCAUUUAAAAAUACCCAGAUAGAUAAAAUACAGACAAAAGAAAGACAGAGUAAUGCAGAGAUGCACAGAAAUGUCUGGAAGGAUAGACACAAAGAUGUUAACAGUAAGCGGUGGGACAAUACAGUGUUUUUCUUUUCUUUUUGUCUUUUUUUGAGCCAUCCGCAUGGCAUAUGAAGGUCCCAGGCUAGGGGUCCAAUCGGAGCUGUAGCUGCUGGCCUACACCCUAGCCACAGCCACAGCCACAGCCACGCCAGAUCCAAGCCACGUCUGUGACCUACACCAUAGCUCACAGCAACGCCGGAUCCUUAACCCACUGAGGGAGCCCAGGGAUUGAACCUGUGUCCUCAUGGAUACUAGUCAGAUUCAUUUCUGCUGAGCCAUGAUGGGAACUCCUGAGAAUAUGCUGUUUUUCAAAAAAUAUUUUUGCUCCAUGUAUUUUAUAAUUUUCCGCAAUGCAUUUAUACUGCCCUUAUACCAACAAAAAGAUAUUUUUAAUUAUAAGAGAAAUAUUUACCAAGCUCCUAACAUGCCACAAGCAUCAGGGCUACAAAGAUGAAAUCAGGUCACAAUUUUCUACCGUGAGCCCCUGGAGGGAGAGGACACAACCCCACGUGCAUUGGGACAGCUGGAGGACCUGCUGUGGGAGCACCAAGGCCUGGAGCGCCCCCUGCUGAGGCAUCCCAGCUGUAACGUUGGCCAUCACAGCGGCAGGCACCCAUCUGGCUGCUACAGAGCCGUGAACGGCCGGGAAACACAUUGGCAAUACUGGGGAUAGAGAAUGAAUUUCCCUAUAGACAGUUGGGGUUCUGGUCAAAGAAGCCUCACAACACUAAACAAAAGAAACCCAACACAAACAAAAAAACAGCAACCAGAAAAUUCCAACUCACAACAUGAAGAACAAAGCAGUAACUUAAACCAAUGAAUGACAGGUGUGACUUUGGAUCGGGACCUCCCGGAGGAGGGACCAGGAGAUGCCGGAUGUGCUGCUCAGAGGCAUUCUCCCUCCCAGCCAGGCUAUUACUCAGAACCGCCUGUUCUCUGCCUCAUCAAAUCCCACCCAGCCUUCAAGCCCAGCUAGCCCCUCUCCUACGGGUCUCCCCGACACUGUGGUUCUGGAGCAUCUCCAUCCAUUGAGCAUACAGUACUUUACCGGACAUACAUUGUGCAACCAUGUGUGUUUGGCCUGCAUUAUUUAUCUCUUGGAUUAAGAGGUCAUGUGACAACUUCUUAAAAGGAAAAUAAUCUCGUUUCUUCAAGAAGGCUGCCAGGUCUUGAGGGAUGGUUUAAAAGACAAUUCCAGGCACAUCAACAUUAGGCAUGAAAUUCCCACUUUUAAAAUGUCAUGUUGACCAGAAGUACUUUAUUUAGAAUUUUAAAGAAGCUCAACAUUGAAAAAUAAGAACUGGUUAAACUAAAUUGGUUGUUUGGGAAUAAAUGCCAUUACAAUGUUCUAACUACCCAUAGUUGUUUUUUUGUUUUUUGUUUUUUUAACCACUGCUAUUUUAUCCUGAUGCAUUUAUAUUUGGGGGGGAGUGGCUUGUUUUUAUUUAUUUUUGUUUGUUUGUUUUUGUUUUGGGCUGCACUCUCGACAUGCAGAAGUUCCCAGGCCAGGGAUCAAGCCAGCAGCCAUAGCAGUGAUAACACCAGAUCCUUAACUGCUAGACCAAAACUCUCCAUACGUUUUAUUUUAAAUUCAACAGUAGGCAUCUACUUGCCAAAUGGUCACAUUCUAUGAUUCUAAAAAGCUGGUUUGGAAAUAAUUCAUUUCUUUAAUAUCUAUCAGAUUAGAACUACUAAGUAUUUUAGCAAACAUGACUACCGCUUGGGAGAGGAGAAAUUCACAAUCUUGGAAGAAUAAGAAUGUGCUUUCCUUAAAAACAAUUGUCUAAGAAGAGACUGUUAAAGACGCUUUCCUUAAAUUCAGCAUGAGAAGAAAAGAUCUGCUUCUGGGAAAAAGCUGAUGAGAAUGAUAACAACAGAUGUUUGGCUCACAUCAUAAAGCUGUGUUGUGUAAAUUCCAGCCGAUGUGUUCAAAGACAAGGUAGUGCAUUAUUUUAAAAGCUUUCUUUUUCUGACGGCCGAGCAAAGGGAAAAGCAGAGGCACAUUACAACAUUACUCUAGCGCCCUCUGCUGUCCUAUUUGCAACACGCCUUUCUGAGUUCCUCAUUUGCCUUUUCUAGAGCUAUUUGCAAAGGAGCUCUUUGGGAAGCCACUAAUGUGUCUGGAGGGGAAUGGCUCGUCAAAGAAAACCAAAUACCCAGAUCUUACAACCUGACGGUGUGCUAUUUAUGCCCACACACACUGUUUACCGCCCUCUGGGGAGCCAGAGGUAGCAUUGUGCGUAUUAGACUCUUACAGGUGAGUGGAGUCAGGAAACAUUAGGGCUCCAAAAGGAAAUCUUUAUAAUCCUAUUCAAUGCUUGGUCUGUGGAAAAUUUGCAGAGGAUGCCAUAGGUGACCUGAUGAGAGCUGAAUGUCUGAUGGACACCUGCAGGACUAAACCUGCUUUAUUGAAAAGAAGUUGAAUAAAUAAGAUGAGUAAAGCUUAAUCACCAGAAGCAACGUCAGCUCUUUUUAAAUGGGGGUCAGAAAUGCAAAUAUGCUCCUUUAAUACAUAUAGAUUUAGAAGUGACUUCAGAUUUGGGAGUCAACCUAACCUGAAAUACUAAAAUAAAUUCAUACCUGCUACUCAAUAAAUAUUCUAAAACUAAGGAUAAAAGUAUGUAAAUUAUAACUGGGCAUAAAUGAAGAAAUAAACACACAAAUUUAAUCAAUCCAAUAUAAUGAAUACAAAUCUCUACAGGAAAUAAGCACAAAUGCUAAUAGGGUUUGUUUAAAGACAUAAAAUUAAUGUUUCAUGUUUUUCCUUCCACAUCUUUUCUGCUUUUUUUCUUUUGGUCAUGACAGGAAGUUACUUUUAUAGUGGGGGAAAAUACUGAACUCACUUCCAGAAAUAGUCUGAAAGGAGAGGAGCUUGCUCAGGUCUUUCUGAAUACAUAUGUAAAGAAAAUUAGCACAAGAGGAAGGAGGUAUUUUGUCCUCUUCCCCAAUUGUCCCAGUUGGUAACUAUAAAUCCAACUUUUCCUUAUGAUAAUGUCACCUAUUGCCUUUUGACUCUUUAUCAUCUAAUCCUAAAUCCAUCCACAGGCGAGAAGGAGCUGUCCCCGUUUCUGGCUAUUGCCCGCCGGUCUUUUUCACUGUCACAGCUGAGUAAUUGACAAUUUAUGCAAUCCAGUUCAUCUGCUUAGCAACAGGAAGGGUGGGGCUCAAAACAGAGGAAAACUACACCAGCAGCAUUCUACAAUUGUGAAAUGAGAAAGGAGGAAUGGGGAACUGGCGAGAGGCCAUAGGCAACAAUUUUCAAUACUAAAUAAAACUAUUUUCAAUGCUUUCAGUACUAAAUCCCCAAAGAUAAGUCCAACAGGGAGUGUUCUAUACUCUCCUCAUACAAAUCUCUGUAAUUACAGUCUUCCC